rnacentral:rRNA from 1 species
UGGGGAAUUUUGGACAAUGGGCGCAAGCCUGAUCCAGCCAUGCCGCGUGUCUGAAGAAGGCCUUCGGGUUGUAAAGGACUUUUGUCAGGGAAGAAAAGGAAAGGGUUAAUACCCCUGUCUGAUGACGGUACCUGAAGAAUAAGCACCGGCUAACUACGUGCCAGCAGCCGCGGUAAUACGUAGGGUGCGAGCGUUAAUCGGAAUUACUGGGCGUAAAGCGAGCGCAGACGGUUACUUAAGCAGGAUGUGAAAUCCCCGGGCUCAACCUGGGAACUGCGUUCUGAACUGGGUGACUAGAGUGUGUCAGAGGGAGGUAGAAUUCCACGUGUAGCAGUGAAAUGCGUAGAGAUGUGGAGGAAUACCGAUGGCGAAGGCAGCCUCCUGGGAUAACACUGACGUUCAUGCUCGAAAGCGUGGGUAGCAAACAGGAUUAGAUACCCUGGUAGUCCACGCCCUAAACGAUGUCAAUUAGCUGUUGGGCAACUUGAUUGCUUAGUAGCGUAGCUAACGCGUGAAAUUGACCGCCUGGGGAGUACGGUCGCAAGAUUA